rnacentral:lncRNA from 1 species
AAAUGACUACUUUUGGAACAAAAAUUGCAAAAAUCAGUUUACUUGUAGACCAUAAAUAGUAAUUUAACUAUGAAUAGGGACCAAAAACGUUAAAAAAAAACCUCAAAUAAGGACCAAAUUUGCAAGAAAAUGUUUUAAAACCAAUGUUGCAAAAAUCAGUUAUAUUCACGUAGCAAACUAUAAUUUACUUAAGAGAGAAAAAUGGUUUAAUUACAUAUUUUGAUUAAAUGGAAGUACAAGUGAUUUUUCAGUAUUUGUAUAUACCCUAAUAUAUCCAUUUUUAAAUAGAUACCGAUAUAUUAUUAUUAGUUUAUUACUACAUUUUUAGUCUCUGAUUAUAGCUGAUUUUUACAAUUUUGGUCCCAAAUUUAUUCUUUUAACAUUUUUGGCCCCUGUUCCAAUUACAAAAACUGUUUUUGGUCCUCCUCAAGGCAUUGUUGAUUUUCGCAAAUCUUGUCCACAUGUUAUUUUUAAUUAAAACAGGGACCCAAACUCAUAUAAGAACCAGAUUAAAAAAAAGCUUUUUGUUUCCAAAAUUAAAAAAAUCAAGAAUAUCCAGGGACCAAAAUGUAAUACCCUCUUAUAAUAGGGGCUAAAAAAUGUUACAAAAGCCCCAAAUAAGAACAAAAAAUGUAAAAAAGGAGACUUUUUGGGACAACAAUUGAAUAAUUCAGGGUAUAUGAUACUAAUGGACAUUUCUAUACAAAACUCUCGGACAAUUGGUUUAUUACAUUUCAGGGCGAAAACAUUAGAAGUCGCAGAGAUUGGCAAAAAUACGCAAAAGGCCCACUUCUAGAAGCUUCUUUACAGAACCUCACUUUAACCGAAUCGACACCUGGCGAAACAAGCACCAGCAGUUCAGAUCCUGCGCAUGCAGCCUCACCGAAUGGCGAUCAGUCUUCGAUGCCAAAUUCAAAUCAAGACCUUUGAUUAAGCCCAGAUUUUGAAGUAAAUAAUAUGAUGAUGAGUGGUUGGAUGGAUGAUCAAGUCAAGUGUUUUAUGGGGUUCGUUGAUUGUAUAGAUAUUGGAAGCCAAAUUUUGAGGUUGUGGGAGGAUGGGAAUUGGAUUGGUGUUUUUUUGAUGAAGAUUUGGAUGGGAUGUGUUUGGAUUUGGAUUUAACUUGGAUUUUUACCUUUUUUUUUUUUUUUGGAACCGUAUAAUGAGACUUUGAAUUUAUAGAUUCUUGAUAUACCUAGACUUGUUUUUGUGAUUUUGGUAGAAUGUUUUAUGGUUUUAUCUUUAAUUUUUGGGAUUGUUUUUUAGAUUUCUAGAUGUUGAUUUUUAUUCUUUUCGGUGUGUUUAAAUAUUUGGUAAAUUAUAUAAAAACCAUUAUAUUUUGAUCGUUUUGUAUUUUAUCACUAUAUUAUUCAUUUAUCAAAUAAAGCAACCCAAGUUGUGAAUUUUUUUAUGCCGAUCAUUUUGACUUGACGUUUUAUUGGGUCACAAUAGAAAGUUGUAUCAGUUGGUUUAGUUAAAAGUUUCACAUUAAAUAUUUUGCUGUAGCUAUUGAAUUUUUUAACAUGUAUUGUUUUAUAACAACUUGGCAUGACACUCCAACAACACUGAAGAUAAAGCAGUAUUAUGACGGGCACUAUAUGGUACGAAAUGUUAUCCCUUCUGAAGUAUGCAUGGUCUUCUAUAGAUGCAAAAAGAUUAUUUUCUGUUUCUGGUAUUAGUUGUUUGGAUUUCUGAAAAAAAGUAUUUGUCAAGAUGUGUCUUUUCGGUCCAGCUUUAUUUAGUGGAUAAUUUACAUAUAAUUCGUUAUAUAUUGUUUUUUCUUUUUUUUUUAAACAAAUAUAUUUAAAUUUUUUUCUAGCAGCCAACAAUUUUUUAACAAAAUUUCCAUUAGGACCACUCUUACAUGUUAUUGCCGGUUUGAUAGGUUUUUUUAGGCUGACAUGGAUUGGAAUUAAUAUACAUGGAAUAAUGGUGUACACCUAUUUUAUCAAUAUUAAUAAAAAAAACAAAUCUUCCUAAAUGUUCCUAUUGUUUUUGAAAAUAUAAAGUAUAAUCCGUGCUAAUUUUUAAUAUAAAAGAUGGUAAAUAUGGUUUGAAAAUUUUUAAUGGAUCAUCCUUGUGACUAACAUCAUUUAUUUUUAUAUGUGAAGUCUGAAUAUAUGUGUGACAUGUGACGAUAAAAUCGUCUUUUCCUAACCAUAUGGACCAUUUAUGAAAGAUGUUGAGAUAAGACCUUAUGCAUAAGAGAUUAGGGUGCGUAAGAUUAAGUUAAUUUCAUAGAUCUUUAGUUACCUUAACAAUAAUAAGAUUGUGGAAUUAAGAAGGAAAUAUAACAACAAAAUACAAUAAACGUAAACAAGUUUAAAGAUACUUGUUGAAUCAUGGUUUGAAUGCAAACACAAGUUAGUAAUUAAUGAACAACAAAGUAUAAGAUAAUGAAGAUAAGGAGACUUGUAUUUUAAUAUUGAGAAAAUUACAAGGAAGAUAAAAUCGGAGACACUUCUAUCGAUCAACAAGAUCAUUUAUUUAUAGAAGCAAAGAGUACAUGUCUUGAAUUGGUCUAUACAAAAAGUAGGAUAAGGAUAGGCGGCCAUGCUUGUCACGCCUAAACUGACACAUACAACCAAACACUCAAUGCCAGCAAAAGCUUACCAUUGUUGUAACUUUACGGUCAUACAAAACAACAAACUGCCAGCAACUCUUCACUAUGUCUUUUUCUCCGGUCUUCAUACAUUCUUCAAUACAUCAAAACAAGCAACUCUUUGGUUGAGUGAGGCUUCAUCUAUUCACAUCUUCUCAAGAAUCCUUAUUAAUCUCCUCCUAAGUGACCUUUGAUUAAGCCCAGAUU